rnacentral:rRNA from 1 species
UACGGAGGGGGCGAGUGUUGUUCGGAAUUACUGGGCGUAAAGCGCGUGUAGGCGGUUGUCCAAGUUGGAUGUGAAAGCCUUGAGCUUAACUCAAGAAAUGCAUUCAGGACUGGAUGACUAGAGGACCGGAGAGGAUAGUGGAAUUCCCAGUGUAGUGGUGAAAUACGUAGAGAUUGGGAAGAACACCAGUGGCGAAGGCGGCUAUCUGGACGGUUUCUGACGCUAAGACGCGAAAGCGUGGGGAGCAAACAGG